AGAAAGUUAAUCUAACUAAGACAGUUGACUUCGACUCAACAGACCAUAGCUCAACCCUAUGACUUUCUU
rnacentral:tRNA from 1 species